GGGCGGGGGACAGGGCGGGCGGGCUCGCACCGCCCCCGCUCGCCCGGCCUCUGCGUCCCCCUUGCGUCCCGUCAGCCGCGUCACUCCGGUUCGUGGUGCUGCCGGCGUUGCACGUGUGCCAGGGAGUAAGCCCCAAAUAAGUGCUGCGGAGGUGAAUCAGACUGCAAAAAGGAUCUUGCUUUUCCCUCCGCAGGAGGAGAUGGGGAAGUCAGAGUCGUCCUGCUGGAGAGUUUUCCUGUCAUCUCACUUCAGCCCCAUUCCUGCUGUCUCUCGAUGGUUCACUGUAGCCACAGCACUCUGACCUGACACAUCCAUGUCACAGUGCCUUCUCCACACCGAUCCCAACGCCAAGCCAAGCCUCCCUAUGAUGCAAGUUGGAAACUUUACCAAAGCCCACGGACCAGCAGUGAAUAAUGUCAGCCAGAGAUCUGGCUCACAAAGUUCUUAAUGCCUUUAAGCUAGCAAGGCCAAAUGGUAAGCAAGUGGUGUUUUACAGUCUCUGUGGAUACACAAAACAUGGAAGAUUAAGGACAGAGCAGCCUGGGCUUUGCCAAAGACCCAGCCAAAAGAAAGGCCGAGCAGAGGCUUGCGAGACAAUAGAGGAAGCUUGCUGAGCUUCCCAAAACCAGCUGCACUCUAGCUUUCCAAGCUGCACGAGUCCACCCCAAACCCCAGGAGCACUCGCCUUGCCUGGGAUUACGUGUCAUGUUAUCCAGAUGUUGGAAAUCUUGCUUCAAGCACAUGUGACCCCGUGUGUUUGGAACAAGCCUCCACUGCCAGUUCACUCUUUGUUUCCAAGUGUGUGAAUUCCUCUUUUAGCUUGUGGUUUCUGCUGAAGAAGCAGAUAAAUCAUGGCUAUUUUGCUGGAAUGGCUGGAUGAGAGGAAGAUAGGCAUGUAGGACAUACAGGGCAGUGGCUCACGGCUGUUUGGCUUCUUUCACACAAGGGGUGGAGCCUCCUUUCCCGGUUCCCAGAACUUGUUCUCUGAUGCUUGGCUCUCUCCCCAACCUCUUCCAGUGCCACAGUGUUGCACAGGGUGCCCAGCCCCAUCAGAGCAGGCGUUUUUCCCUGUGUGCACAGAAACCCUCAGGAAAGCAGCCUCCUGAGCUAGUACCUUCAUGAUAUCCCAGGAGCCAGAUGGGGCAUCAGCAGCUUGCCGAUGCCAAAACAAAUCAUGUUGCAGCAGCAGGAGGGAACCUUGGCUCUUGGCUGUACCGAGGGACCCAGGCCAGCUGCAGACCUCUGCCCCAACCCCAGCUGAGUGUCCCGCUGCCUCUGCGUGUUGGUUCCACAUCUGGAGCCAGCACAGCUUGCCCUCGCUCCCCAUCCUGCCCGUCUGGAAUCCAGGUCACUUGCACAAGGACCUCCUUUACACUGGCUUCUUGUGCCUGGAGGCUGGGACAGCAGGGAAACCAGGGGGAACAGGGAGAAACCACCUUCAGUCAAGGAAAACAGAACUCUUAAAAAAAUACAGCUACAAAGUAACCCAGCUCUAGAAGCAGAAGGUUUGACGUGGAUGGUCGAUGCACAAAUGAACUCCAGUUCGCUGCCAAGGCUUACUGCAGAGAAAGUAGUAAACAGAACAGCUUACAGCACCUUUGGGGUUAUACAGUUCCCUUCUUCAUCUCCAGCACUUGCAGAUGAUUUCCCCACAUGUUGUCCCUUAACAUCCACCCACUCCCGCCUUCUUUUUGGCCCAGGCUGGUCGGGAAGACCUCAGGCAAACGGUGUCAAAGCGAACUCGUCAUAUUUGGGGAGCAAGCAGUUGGGAGGAGAAGUCACCCUUGCUGUAACCUGGCUGUGAGCCUGGCCCUGCCCGUGGGUCCUCAGGAAUGCUGCAGCAGAAAGGUGGUGGCUGGGGGGGAAAUCCUUCAGUGCUGUGGUGAGAUGACCUCAGGACUGGAGUCAAACAGCGGCUUGGUGGCCACACAGGCUGUCUUUUGCGUAGACUACAGAGGGUCAGCAGGGCUUUGUUGCUUGAUAAAUCCAGUUCAGGUCCAGGAUACCUCUGCCCAACAGCUGUGAGCCCUCCUGCUUCCUUCAGCAUGCUCAGUGAUUGCCAACAUUUGGAAAAAUCAAACUCGGGUGUGUCUGUGAGUGCAGCUGCCAUGCUGAUUAACUAAAUCUCCUUUCUGACUCAGGUCUGGGAUUGUCUUUCUGCCAAAUGAUCCAGGGGCAGCAUGGAAUGGGAUGUCUCCACAGCACUGGGACCAGACAGUGCUUCCAGAUAUUCUGAGCUAUGCAAACCCAAGGACAGGUGAUGAUGAUGACGGGGAGCCUUAAGCCAGGGCAGCUCACAGGAGAAUAUUUUUCUUCUCCCCUCACAGGAUAUGAACCACACAUGGAAGUCUCAUGCUUUGUAAAAGGAAAGAGAAACCAGAGGGCCUCCAGCAGUUACACAACAUGCAGGAGCUGUUUGAGAGCUGCCUCCUGAAGGAUUAACUACAAAUCCUUGUUCCCUUUACAGCUGUAGCCUUGUGUCUGUGCACAUCCUGUAAAGCAGCGUAGAAAUUAAUAAAUAAAAAGGACAGCAUUAAGUAACACAGGAACUCUCGUGUCCAUGUGGUACUGCCUGCAUCAUCCAGAUGGAAAGUAUCUGUCUAGACAAAUCUGGGAAUUAUGCAAGCUCAGAAUUCCUGAAUAGGUCUUCCUUUCCAACAUCAUGAAACAUUUGCAGUGCCCACUGAAAAUACUCAUAGAAACACAGGGGGGAAUGAAACCCUUCAAUUCCAACAGCCAGGAAACCUAAACACUAGGAGUAUGUUGGAUGAGAGAAGGUCUUAGUGCAGGAAUAUGGAGCAGUGUCCCUGCUGUGUGCACGCUGACUCAUCCCUGAGGAGCCAGGAUGAUCCCUGGUGCUCCCUCCUGUCUCAGCAGAAGCGGAGCAGGCUCCGUUGGGCUUCUUGUGGUUCUCUGCUGCCUGAUGCCCUGGAAAAGGCGCAGAGUCGCUUGUUUCCACUUUUCCAAAGCUGUUUGUUUCCACGGUGCUCAGACAAGCAGAAGGAAUGAAGACAAAGAGGGAAAGAUGGGCUGUCCUGGUUCAAACCACAACAGCAUAAAAAUAAAUCACUCUGCCUAGGAGAGCAAAAAAAAAAGCAGGACGGAAACAUGGAAAUCCCACUCUGGCUCGGCAGCUGCUGCUGGCUCUGAUCAACACCCAGGGAUCACCGGGGCUGGGAGUUUAGCACAACUCUAGAGUUGUAGUGACCCUUUUUGGUGUUCUUGGGAAACAACGGCCCAGCCAGAGGAGACAGAAGAAUGGAGCAGCCAGGAACUCUCCCUGCAGAGCAGUGCAACCCAGGGAAAAGAUGACACAAUUCCAAAUAUUAUAUGGAGAAAAAUAAUUUUUUAAAAAGCACAGAUCAUGAUCCAGCAGUCAUCCAGUUUCUAGCAGUUUUAUCACUGACUCCAGGGGGACAGGUUCAAACCUUCCACAGGUGCAUCCAAACAGAAUCAUCACUUGUGUUCAGUUUGGGGUCACACUGGAGGAAAAAGGGCUGACAUUUAUCCAUCUGGCCUGGCCCCUUUGGCCCUGCAAAGGAGAGCAAGAGAGAGCAUUGUGUCAGUUCUGUCCUGCCAGGCCCAGGAGAGAAAGAGUAAAGAGCUACUGGCAGGUUGAGUGAUAAAACAACUGCUUGUACCACUGUUUGGGGGCACUCAGGGCAACAUUUAUGCAGGGCCAGGGGGGCUGCAGCAGGACAUCGUGCCUGAGCCACCGUUGGAUCAGCAGCCCGGAAAGCAGAUGUGCCAAUUUCCUGUCCUUGAUGAUGAUGGGCCCUAAUUACGCCAGAACUGUGGCAAUGUCCUUUCUAGUGUAUGACCCCUAAUUUGGUUUCAUGAAGUCAUCUGUGCCAGGUUCUUCCGGCUGCAAGGCUGGGGCGAGUGACAGUCACGAAGAGCCGUGUGCUCUGUGCGCCCAAACACCUGGCCCAUGCUUUGAUCGAACAAAAUUCGACUGGGAACAAACAAAAUUCAGGCAACCCACUGGGAGCUGGGUCGUUUGCUUGGCUUGCUUUACCUCUUGCAGGUUGUCAUGCCUGCUGACAGGGAGCUGUGUGCUGGGGGGAACAUUCCAAGACAGGUGUCGGUACUCAGCAGAGACCAGCACUUCAGAGAGGCUUGUGGGGGGAAGAAUUUUGGAAGUGGAGGGGAAAAUCCCUCCCCCUUUGUUUUCCCACCAGGGAGAUUCCCUUGCUAGCAUUGCUGCUGGUGCUUUUUUCAACUUUUCACCAUUCCUUUCCAUGGUUUUGGCCUUUAUUUAGGGCUUUUUUUCCCCUUUUCCCCCCUCAUUUUCUGUCCCGCUCAUAAUUCCCCAAUUUUGAAGAUUGCCAGCAGAGCAUUUUUUAGUUUAUGUAUCAAAACAGAGGCUUUUAUAAGUUUGGGAGAGGUUUUUGGGAUGGCAUUGUGGGAGGUUUUUCAGCUUUGAGGAAGCUUCUUGGUGUUUAGAAUACUUUUCGUUUUUCUUUCCUUCUUUUCCCCAGGAGCUCUUUGUGGAAUUAGACAUUUGUCUUUCAAUGUAGCUCCUGCUUUGCAUGGGUGGGGUCACUGCUCCUGAGCCCAGCCACACGCCCCAGGAACUGUUUGUCGUUCCUUGAUUGUGGGGCUCUGAUUAUUGUACCAGCAGCUCCCAUCUCUGGGAUCCCCAAGCCUGGGGAUCACCCGGGCUUGCUGCUGCUGCUGCUGGGAGAGGAUGAUGCUUGGGCAUUUGGCACAGAGGUGCCGUGGAGGUUUGCAGGGCAGUGAGAGGAGGAGGUACUGCUCCCAGGACAUCAGGGAUGUGCAGCGGGGGCUUGGUGGCCGUGUGGCACCUGCUUCUUCCUAUGCCUGGUGGAGCAGGUGCUGUCCUGAGGAAGACAUGGUGCUGGCACAGGUGGGACUGGGGUCUGGCCUGUGGGAGCCUGCUGCAGUAAAGAGCUGGAGAAGCAGGGUUUGGGGCUAUGUAGCACUAAGAGGAGCAGGUGGAGAGAUUACAGACUUUUGGUGGAGUUUCUGCAGGGACCUGCCUGCAGAUAAGGGGCAGUGCGCAUGAGAGGAGGGCUGGCUGGAGGUGGUGCUGCCGUGAAAGGGGAUGGAAGCUCCACAGUGGGACUGGGUGGCAGCUUGUAUCACCUGGAAGCUGAAGAAGGGCUCUGACCUGCUUUUUGUUGCAAGUGAGGGAAGGAGCACUGUGGAGUGAGGCUCUAGGUGCUGGGCAUGCAGAGUGGGAGGGACUGGAGAGUCGUUGUGAGGGGUCAGACAGCUCUGAGGAAUGCUUAAGCAGGUCCUUGUGACAUGGCCAGUAUGGGAAGAGCAGAACUUCCAAAUGUGUCUGCUGGUCCAGGAUACCAUGUACAAACUGGGGUGGAUGGAUCUGGGAUCAGUGUGUGAGAAGGAUUGCCCUCUGUGGGUGCACAGCUGCUCAGGGGCAGGCUGGCUGUGUGCCUGAGGCUGGGAGAGGCAUGCAGCAGAGUGUAGGGGAACUUUGUCACCACACAGCUGAGUGCUGGGGCAGGACAGCCAGAGUGGCUUGGUUGAGAUCACAGUCACAGAAUAUUCCGAGUUGGAACGGACCCAUGAGGAUCACUGAGUCCAGUUCUUGAGUAAAUGGCCCAUGUGGGGAUGGAACCCACAACCCUGGCAUUUUAAGCACCAGGCUCUCAAGAACCAAGCUAAUUUGGGGUCAGCUCACUUCAAAGUUUUAAGACCCAACUAGAUUUUUGAUCUGGUCUUGGUGUUGGCCCUGCUUUGAGCAGGAGGUAAAACCAUCCGAGGUUCUUUCCAACAUAACUGGGUGAUUUUCCUUCUUGCCUACAGCCCCUGCACUUGGCUGCAGCACCGUUCCUCUGCCCUGUGUAAUCUCAGGUUAGUGAAGAUUUGUACACCAAACUCCAGCCAGACUGUCUAGAGGAUGUGCCUGGGGAAACAUCACUUUGAGAAGGUGGGAUGGGAUUUUUAUUGUCAUCUCCUGACAAUUUACAUUUACAGUCAUCUCCUGGCUCUGCUGCUGUCACACCACAGGGCAGAAAGGGUGUGUGUAGGAGUGUUUGCUGGCUGACUCAGGGCCCUGUCUGGUUAUUCACCAGCCAGAUCACACCGGUGACUUGGCAUAUAUCAGCCUUGCCCUGUUCAUGUGAGCUGCUCCCCUGGCUGCCUGCAUGACAAGUGUUUCUGAUCACCAGUGUGACUGUGCUGGCCUCAAGACAGGAGUGAAGUGGCUGGGAUGUGUCUUAUCUGACUGGUGUUUACAUCUGUGUGACUCUGAGUUACCUUUUCCUCAAUUUCUCCACAUGUAAGAAGUUUAACUUAUAUGCACUCAUGUCCUGUUGUCUGUCAUUCAAGGUUUUAUCCUUUUCUCUUCUUCCUAUGUCUGGGCAGUUAAGAUGGGUGGAGGUGGAGCAGUGUUGAUUGAAUUGCAGGCUUCAUUUUCUGCAGUGCUGUUGGCAGAGCAACAAAUGCUACAAGGGCAGGAAGGGUCAUGUCCCUUCCCCCAGGGACAAGCUGGUGAAGCAGCUUGGCAAGGAUCUUGUAUGUUUUAAUGGAUCAGCUUAGCAGGGUGCAGAAAAUGAUGUGCUUGGCACUGCUUUUGGGGAACAGGUAGAGUUGCCACAUGGCAACAGCCACAGGAAGAGAGCUGGGGUACUAAACUGUCAUCCCCCAUGGGGCAGUAUUUUCAUGGUCCAAUUGAAUUCUUGUGCCUGUAAGAAGACCUUUUAAAGGAAAUGCUUUGCUCAGCAAAGCUAACCAAGAAGCAGAAUAGCUCAUGGUAAAAUGGUGCUAUGGCACCAUAGCCCAAGACACAUGUAGUGACCAUGUUGAGCAGGAAGGGCCUUCAGUCCCUGCUGAGGAUAUGCAAAGACGUGGUUUAGUUCCUUGGAAAACUCAUUUCCUGAGUCGGAGACAGUGAUGAGUCGGUGUGCAUUCACCUGGGCAGCUCAUCUUGUGGCACAGACAAGCCAUGUUGCAUGAGCUCCUUGGUAGCUCCCUGCCAGUCCUGUGCUCUCCCUCUCCCUCUACUCAGGAGCACUUGUUUUGCUUACUAUUCCAGGAUUUUGUGCUCCUGCCCUCGCAAGAACCGUCAGAACCAGCUGUGCUUCAGAGAAUAAGCCAGAGUCACCGUGGGCUUGGAGAGGUACUAGGAACAAGUACCCUCCCAGAGCUUCUGAGCAGAGGAAAAUGGAGCCUCUCUUCCCAGAGAAUGAUGUUUGUAGCAGUGCCAAGCAGAUGCUCCUUCCUUCCACCUCUGGUCUCCACAUCUCUCGUAGGGCAGGGCGGGGAGUGCCCAGCCUGCCCUGGGUGUGCAGCUGCCCCUUUGGGCUGUGAACCAAGUUGUCAGGGCCAGCACUGAGCCCACUAUGUCACGAGCCAGGCGGCUGUCUGGGCUGCAGCAGGUAGACCCCCAGAGGGGAAGGACAUCUGAGCCAGGCUGCCCCCUGAGCAGGUCAGCACAGCUCCCUCCCCUGGCCCGGGCGGUUUUCCCGGCUGUCCUGGCAUCAAUUUCCCCGUGUUGUUCUGUGUGUCCUCCAUGAGCACAAGCAGGCCAUUUGCUGCAUUAGCCUCAUUAUGUUUCCUUUCCAAAAAGCAUCCACCGCUGUCUGCCUUGUGGUUUGGAAAGGGGUUAACACUUUCCCCUCCCAAACCUCAGCUCACCAGCACAUCUCCCUUGUGCUGCAAUUAUUGAAUGACACUUCACAACUUCAUCUCCUCUCCUGCUACAUCUGCUUGCUGCUCCCAUGUGCAACCUAGCUCACAUCCCAAACAUCUAAAUGCAUUGUUUCCUCUGUUUCUCCUGCCAGCAUGGAAAGGAGCCAUCCCUGAAGCAGGAUUGCCUUUGAGCUGGCAGCAGACGAGUGAUUGGCGUUGGGCAGCACUGCUGAGACUCUGGCAGGCCGUUUAGCAGAGAACCUUGGCUAAUGAAUGUCAUCCACACCUAGCAGAUGUGCCACUGCCUGCCGUGCCAGAUUUUUGACAUAAUACAGGGUUGCUGGACACAACAGUGCUCGGGAAAAGCCAGGGAGCGACUCGUGCCUUCAA